rnacentral:lncRNA from 1 species
GAAGCCAAAGCAGGUCGAGCUGCCUGCACCCCUGGGAAUGACACAGCCCAAAACAAUGGAUGUAACUCCUACUUGUCUGCAUGCUCAAGAGGAGAUGCUCAGGGCACUUUAUAUGAAAAUUAUAGAUUGUACACAGAUCUGCAUUCAAUAGAGGAGAAAACAUUUUCCUAGAGCGAGCUGCUUCCUGACAUUGAAGCUAACACUUGCAAAGCCAGCUUGAUGUUUCCACUCUGUGCUGUGACGUAUCUGCAGGAAAAAAGCGUGCCUUUUACACCUUUUUGAAGUAUUCCCCUUCAUCAAUGAGAAGAACAUGGCUCCUGUGAAAGAAUGAGUAGGGCAAGAGCAAAAGGUAAAGUGGGGUGGAGUUAUUUACCACAGACUGCCACAUUAGUAAGGGCACGA